rnacentral:rRNA from 1 species
AUUGAACGCUGGCGGCAGGCUUAACACAUGCAAGUCGAGGGGUAUAGGUUUUCGGACCUAGAGACCGGCGCACGGGUGCGUAACGCGUAUGCAAUCUACCUUUCACAGAGGGAUAGCCCAGAGAAAUUUGGAUUAAUACCUCAUAGUAUAGCAGUUUCGCAUGAAACCACUAUUAAAGUUCCAACGGUGAAAGAUGAGCAUGCGUCCCAUUAGCUAGAUGGUAAGGUAACGGCUUACCAUGGCUACGAUGGGUAGGGGUCCUGAGAGGGAGAUCCCCCACACUGGAACUGAGACACGGACCAGACUCCUACGGGAGGCAGCAGUGAGGAAUAUUGGUCAAUGGACGCAAGUCUGAACCAGCCAUGCCGCGUGCAGGAUGACGGUCCUAUGGAUUGUAAACUGCUUUUGUACGAGAAGAAACAACAUUACGUGUAAUGUCUUGACGGUAUCGUAAGAAUAAGGAUCGGCUAACUCCGUGCCAGCCGCCGCCGUAAAAC